GUCUACGGCCAUGCCACCCUGAACAAGCCCGAUCCUGUCUGAUCUCCAAAGCUAAGCAGGGUCAGGCCUAGUUAGUAUUUGAAUGAGAGGAAGACCAGGUGCUGUAGGUG
rnacentral:rRNA from 1 species